UUCCACCUACAUCGAGCAGCUCACCUCCACCUACAUCCACUCCUCCACCUACAUCGAGCAGCUCACCUCCACCUACAUCCACACCUGCUGGUUCUACCUCCAUCACUCUUCCUCCUGUUCUCUUUGUGCUGUUGCCUGUUGGGUCAGUCUAUGUUGUGGUUCUACUGGUGUUACUGAUUCUGCUGGUGAGACGAUGUGUUCACAGGAAACUUGAAGCAGAUGGAGAAGAUGACAUCACCAGUAGCAUCACAUACAUUGUUGUGAAAGCAUCAAAUCAUCAACAACCUCCAGUCAAAGAAACCAGAGAGAGAGAGACUGAUUCAGCUGUGAUCUACUCAGCAGUGAGAACUGAAGACGUCAGUUAUGGACAAGCAACCA